CUACAAGUGAGGAAGAGUCUAUCUUCCUGCUGCUUGCUGCUCAGAGGCACAGUCCUGGAAACUCUGGGUUUUCUCCAAUUGUGUCCCAAUGUCUGGUCUUCAGCUCUGUGGGCAUCCAGAGACCAGGAGAUACCACAAGACUGAGCAGGAAGAUUAUUUUGGAUGAGAGAUGGGAGUGGAAAACAAGAAAAAGAAAGCAGAAGUCUUUUGUUUUGAUAUAAGGGAAAACAAACUCAAAGAAGCAAUUUUUCUGGAAACACACAAUUGCAGAAAGAGAUUCAGAGAGGCUGUUCCUGGUUUCUUGGCUAAGGUCCUUUCUACUAUCCAGACUACAUUGGCUCAGUCCAGGAGGAGUCAAAGAAGAUAAGGACACUGCAGCCCAGAGAAGAAACCUGCAAAGGCCGUGUUCACACACUCACAAGAGAUAUGGCUGUGAUUUGGAUCCAGAUGUGAUGGGCUGACAACAAAACUCCUGUGAUACCAUGAAGUCUUCGGGAGGCAGAAUUGAAGUGAACAUGAAGUUUAGCUUAGAGAAGAAAAGAAUAAAUACAUACAAAACAUUUGAUGGUGAAUAAACAGAAAAUGGUGUAUUCAACAGAAUUUGACUCAGCAAUAAAAAUGAACCAAACUAUGGAAAACAACACCCAACAACAGGAAGAAAUCUCAAAAUAAUUAUGGUGAGUGAAAGAGGCCAGACCAAAAAAAAAAAAAAAAAAAGACUAGAAAAUGUUAACUACCCAAUAGUGAUGAAAAACAAGCAGAUCAGUGAUUGCCUAGGGAGUGGAGGGAAGGGCACCCUGAAAAGAGGUAGGAAGGAAGGGAUGAUAAACAGGCAGAAGGAAACUUUUGAGGGUGGUGGAUAUAUUCACUACCUUGAUGGAGAUGCUUGCAAGGGUGUCAAAAUGCAUCACAUCGUAUGCUUUAAACAUGCACAGUUUAUCGUAUGUUAAUUAUAGUUCAAUGAAGCCAAAAAACAUAUUUGAAUUUAAAUAUGUUUAGUACAAUCCACAAAUCCUAUGAAGUAGACCAGUAUUAUUGUUCUACUAAUAACAGAUUGAAAAUUGUGUUCAGUAUACCUAUAAAACAGGUAAUUUUGACAAAUAGCCCCUUCAGCAUAUCUAAUGUAUACUCAAUAUGUCUUACCAAUUUCCAAGUAGAAAUUAUCCAUUAAGUAAUAACUUAGGUUCUAUUAAAACCUAAUUCAAUGGAAAAAACCUAUUACUAAAUUCUAGCUUAUUAAAAACCAGUUUGGCCAUAAGAGGUCACGAAUUCUAAAAACUAAUAAUACUUAAAUAAAUUACUUAAAAUUACUUAAGUAUUAAAUAAUACCUAAAUAUAUUUACAAUAAUAAUAGUAGUAGUAGAAGUAAUGCCAUUUCCUUAUUAAGUUUCCCAUUUUAAAAAAUACCUUAAAAACUCUGAAAUUUUUCUUCUGAAAUAAAUAAGAGGAUAGAUAGAAUUAUUCUCAUUUACCAGACAUUAAUUUUUAAAUUGCCCGAAAAAUGCCUUUUCUACAACUUUUUUUUCAUAACUGCUUUGAUAAGAAGAAUCACAAUCUGUUUGGAAGUUUGCUUUGCUCAAUGUCAUAAGUUGGUUUACAAUUCAAUCGAAUGCCCUGGUUUGUCACAGGAGCUCACCAAUAAGCAAAACAGCCAAGCCUUUUGAAGACUAAUUAGAAAAAGUACAAUAAAAUUAAUUCACACAGCACAUGUGUUUUCUUAGACUUGGAAGAAAUAUACUGUCUGUGAGCAAAGAAUUCUAAUCACAUUUGGAGGCACUGCUAUAGAACUGUUCCUGGGAUUUUUCAGGAUUAUUAACACAUGCUGUUCUCUAAUUAUUUGUGAUUUAGUAGACACAUAAAACUCACCUGAUUAAGCAAUCAAAACUGAAUCUACGGCAGAGGUGGGUCUCAUGCCCUCUGCAUCUUUAUUCUAAUUUCAAGACAGAACUGAAGUGUUUCUAUCCCCUGACUCUAUCCCUAGGGAGAACAAAGUCAUACAAGUCAAAGAUAAACUAAAGGAUACAGCUGGGCCUCCAAGAUAAGGAGGAGUAGAGUGUGGGGAAACAGGAGUAAAGACCAAGUUCUCUGGUUCAGGAAGAUCGAUCCUCAUCCCUCUAUUGCCUGGAGGGGUGGUUUGGGAAGGAGGAGAAAAGGCCUAGAGGAGAUGGCUUCCACCUGCCUGGAAGGUGGCCCAGAAAGAAAAGGAGUACACAGAUUCAGUUUCAGCAAGGGACAGAGAUCAGGGAGGAAUUUGUGAGAAAGGCCAUAGUGAAAUAAUCAUGUAAGUGCCUUUGCCAUUUCUCCCUCAUUCCAAACUAUAUGGGGGUAGAUGACUGCAUGAAAUCUCAGAAUCCCAAGACUGGGGUCUUGGCUUUUAACAACUGACAAUCAAGUGGGAAGGAAUGCAAGCAUAUACUUCUAGGAUGAAUUAUUGAAGUUCCUUUUUUUUUUUCUUUUUUUGAGUCAGGGUCUUGCUCUGUCACCCAGGCUGGAGUGCAAUGGCACAAUCUCGGCUCAUUGCAACCUCAACCUCCUGGGCUCAAGCGAUCCUCCCACCUCAGCCUCCCAAGUAGCUGGGACCACAGAUGCAAACCACAAAGCCCGACUAAUUUUUUUAUAUUUUUGGUAGAGACGGGGUUUCCCCAUGUUGCCCAGGCUGGUCUUGCACUCCUGGGUUCAAGUGAUUUGCCUACCUUGGCCUCCCAGAGUACUGGGGUUAUAGGCAUGAACCACCACACCUGGCCCUAUUAUUGAGUUCUAUUAAGAGCCAGCCCUACCCAAAAAAUCUUUGAUGUCUUCCACUGGGGGAUAGAUAAGGGUUCUAGUAUAUUAAGAAAUCACAGAAUAAUAAGAAAAAAAAAUCACAGAAUCAUGUUUACAUAGCACCUCUAUAGACUCAGUCAUAAUCUGGAUUUCUCAUGUGUGUCCAGGGAUACAUCAUUUAAUCAAGAAACACUAAGAACAAAAUCUUGCGGAGAAGGAUCUCAGUAACUGGUGGGUAACCAGGACUGGUUUCACAAGUGUAGGACUUAUACAGUAACACCAGUAACACAGUCCCCAAGCACCUCUCCCCGACCUGCCCCACAUCCCUACUUGGUUUAAUGCUCUACUGUGCUAAAAAAAUUCUUAAUACAUUUUGAACAAGGAGUUCUGCAUUUUCAUUUUGUAUCAGGCAAUAAGUUUGUAGCCAGUCCUGAGGUUAACAAUGUAAGACCUGGAUUACAGACCUCUCCUUUCUGGGAAAUCCCUU
rnacentral:lncRNA from 1 species